rnacentral:ncRNA from 2 species
ACGGACCUUCGGGGCAAGGUGAAAUUCCUGACCGGCGGUGAUGGUUCCCGUGAACCUAAGCCCGCGACUCGCUUGGCUGCCGAAAGCAGCCGGCGACUGACUUGGUGGAAAUCCAAGGCCGACGGUAUAGUCCGGAUGGGAGAAGGUCGAA